rnacentral:tRNA from 1 species
GCACAGGUAGUUCAGUGGUAGAACUCCUGCCCGGAAAGCGGAAGCUCCGGGUUCGAUUCCCGGUCUGUGCA